rnacentral:rRNA from 1 species
GAUUAACGCUGGCGGCGUGCAUAACACAUGCAAGUCGAACGAUGAAACUUAAAUGAUUUCUUCGGAAUGAACUUAAGUGGAUUAGUGGCGGACGGGUGAGUAACGCGUGAGUAACCUGCCUUACACAAGGGGAUAGCCGUUGGAAACGACGAAUAAUACCCUAUGAAACUAUCACUUCGCAUGAAGCGAUAGUCAAAGUGUUAGCGGUGUAAGAUGGACUUGCGUCUGAUUAGCUAGUUGGUGAGAAAAAAGCCCACCAAGGCAACGAUCAGUGGCCGGCUUGAGAGAGUGUACGGCCACAUUGGGACUGAGACACGGCCCAGACUCCUACGGGAGGCAGCAGUGGGGAAUUUUGCACAAUGGGGGAAACCCUGAUGCAGCGACGCCGCGUGAUUUAGAAGGCCUUCGGGUUGUAAAAAUCUUUUGUAUAGGAAGAAAAUGACAGUACUAUACGAAUAAGGUCCGGCUAAUUAAGUG